rnacentral:lncRNA from 1 species
AUGGUUCAAUAUUCUCUUGACCCAGAAAACCCUAUGAAAUCAUGCAAAUCAAGAGGGUCAGGUCUUCAUGCUCACUUUAAUGGCAUCUGUGAAACUGCCAGGGCCAUCAGAGAUAUGCAUAUCUGAACAGCCAGCAGGUACCUCAAGGAUGUCUUUAAAUAAUCAGUUUGUGUCAUUUCAGUGGUUGUAAUGGGGGAGCUGUGUAGGAAUGCUCAGGCCAAAGGGUGAGGCUGAGGACUGUUUCGAUGGCCCCCAAACAGUGCUCACUUUUCCUACACGUGCUACCUCAGAGGGUGACGCUGAACUUAAAAGAUUUAGGUGUAGAGUCUCCAUUCAGUGAACAUCUCCAGGUAACCAAGCUUC